rnacentral:lncRNA from 1 species
AUGCUAGUUAAAGUAGUAUCAAGCCGCUUUGCGUCAAAGUUGGAGAUUUCCAGUGAGGUAAAGGGGGCGUGGCCACACUCCUCGUGGGCGUGGCCAGUUCCAGAGUGGGCGUGGCCAACCACCAAUGUUUACCUGAACUCCAGCUCCACUCCCGCUGCUGGAACUCGCAACAUCUUUAUGACUUGUUGGAAUCGCCACUUUAAUAGCUACAAUCUCAACCAUAUAACACCCUUGAGUUUCGAGAAGAUUUCCCAUCUGUUUUGUAUCACCAGGAAGAGAUGUUGAACCCUAGAAAAAGAGGGGUACAGGACUUGAAUCACUCCUAAGACUGGGUGAAGAGGUGAACUUGAUGAAGUAAGCUGCUUUGAACCUCCUUGUUGAGAGAAAAACCAGGGUAUAAAUACAAAUAAUAACAACAACAGCAGCAACAGCAACAACAGCAGCAACAACAACAACAACAAUUUAUUCCCUCAAAAAUAAUCAAGAAAAACUAGACCAGAACUCCUGUGUAGUUGAGGGUCCCAGUCAGAAGUGUAUUGAAUGAUCAAACACAAAAAGAUUAAGACAACUAUUAAUAGUUGAGUUCUCACAGAGUAACUUCAGCUGUAUAUGUUCUAUCUGUUUUCAUCUACUGGAAGGUAAACUCUCCUGAAUACACAGAGGGGACUUCUAAGUAGGAUUGUGCUAAGAAAUAUAUUCAUAGUCAACACUGAUGGAAUAAUCAUGGAAUUGGAAAAGUAAUUCACCCUUCCACUGACUAUAAUAGCUCUUGUGAUGACCUGAAUGGAGAAUCCUGCUCAUAGAAGAAGUUAGUCUGUCCUGCCUGCAGCAGCCUUAGAAAAUACCUUUAUCUUUUUAGUUGCUUUACUGAGCCAAUGUGGGCUCACUUCCUAGAGCCAGAAAUGAAGAGGAAGACCUUGAAACAGCCUUUUUAUCGUGUGCUCUGGAAUAAAAUAUGAAGAAGACCUAUUGGACAUCGUGGCCUGAAUCCUCCACAAAAUAUGUAUUUUUAGUGAUUGGUUUGCACUUUGUAUAUGUUCUGGAGGUAAUUUAUCUAAACACUUUCAGAACUCAUGCCUCCUUGCUCUAGGUUUUGUGAUGUUCUUAUGCCUAACAUAGGUAAAUUAAGAUUGUAUUUAUAUAUUGAUAUGCCAUGUGUAAGCCAUUCACUUUUUAAAACUAAAAUUUAUUUUUUGUCCUUUUGUCACAAUGGCAUCGUGAUCAACAUGAUGGUAAUGCCUCAGUUGACAAAGUCUCUGACAGAAAUGUUCCUUUUCAACAAAUCUUAUUAUGUCUUCUGAGCCACCUUUUCCUCCUCACCCAGGUUUCUGUUAAAGAAGCAAUGCCCAUGACUUGUCUACUUUUUUUUAACCUGAGGAAUGCCUGGACAUUCAUGUCACUGAUAUGAGAAAACCAAAAGGCUGAAUUAACUAAGGAUUUGACUUCCUGAAGGAAUCCAAAAGCUGAAUUGUUUUGCUUCUUUCUUAUUUGGCCUGUUAGGUAGUGGUAGUGGUUAUUAUUAGUGCUAUUUGUUGUUUUUCUUCAUUAUAAUGCCACAUAGUCUGUAUUUCCAUGCCUUUAAAAUGUACCAGCAAAUAGGUAACCUUCAUGACAACUUGCCAAAAAGUUCAAGGCUGGCAUUUGAAUACCUCCUACUCUGUGUUUUCAUUUUUUUAAUGUACCUGCUACUACAAGAUACAAAGGAAUGGGUAGACUGAUCUGAAACUUUACUUUUUCAUCUGAUCUGAAACUUUGCAUUUCUAUUUACUGUUUAGAUUAGAUAAAAGACUGGGUUUUGUUGAGUAAUACUAGGAUGUUGGCACUGGAGGGACAUGUUCUGGGAUAUGGUUGGGAUGGUUACAUGUGGUAAGACAAAGUGAAAGUGAAUGUGGACUUUAAAAAUAAUUAUGUUAGACACGCCCUAUUAUGAAUAUGGGAGAGGUAUAAAUUAAUCUUAUGCCCGAAGGCGCCAAGAAGCAUUUUAUAGAAAAGAGACACAAGGCAAGAUGAAAUGGCUAACUUGUCAAGAUUUCCUAGAAAAUGUACAAGGAGAAUAUAGGAUUAAAACAAGGACUGAAAACAAUUGCAGAGGGGUUUGGUUUUUAGUGGUUUCUUAUUUACAGUUAAUGAGAGAUUCAUCCAAGACAAGAAAUUUGCUGGUUUUGAACUGAGUAAAUCAGAAUUUGAGUUGCAAUUAUGUACUAAUUAUAAACAUUUAAUUUCUGAAAUGUAUAAGAUGUUAUUGAAAUGAAAAAUGGCAGACAAGCAAGUUAAAGAAUGCAUGACAAAGUGGACACAAAAUGUGGAUCAAUGGGAGAAAAUAAGGAACAAGGGGUUACAAGUUUACGUUAUGUUAUAAUUUGAAAGAUUUUUUUAUAAAAUGAUGUAUCAAUGAUAUAUGACUUCUGAAAAGUUUUUGAAGAUAUCUAAAAAGGCUUCCAACACUUGUUGAAAAUGUAAACAGCAAGUGGGACCAUUCUAUAAUAAGUGGUGGGCAUGUAAACAUGCCAAGAAAUAUUGGAUGCAAAUACAUAAGGUGAUCCAGAAAGUUUUUGGGGAAAAUAUCCAGUUAAAACCUGAGACUUUUCUACUUGGUCAGAUUGAUACAAAUGGCCAUGAUAGACUGUUGCAAUGUAUGAUCACAGUAGCCAGAUUGUAUGUAUUUAAAAACACAAACAAAGUUAAAAACUUGGCAUUAUACUAAAUGUCCUUUGACCAGAAGCUGGCCACUUGGAUUACCUCUGGUUUUGCUAUAAGGAGGUCCUCCGUUUUGCAUGGGGCAGGGAUCGGGCUGCAUUGUAAUAGCUGGUUUGUGGUUUGCUCUUCUCCACAGUCACAUGUCGUGGACUCCACUUGGUGGCCCCUUUUCUUAAGGUUGGCUCAACAUCUUGUGGUGCCAGAGCCCAGUCUGUUCAGUGCCUUCCAAGUUGCCCAGUCUCUGUGUGCCCUGGGGGGAGUCUCUCAUUCGGUAUCAGCCAUGGGUUGAGGUUCUGGGUUUUAGCCUGCCACUUUUGGACUCUCACUUGCUGAGGUGUUCCUGUGAGUAUCUCUGUAGAUCUUAGGAAACCAUUUCUUCAUUUAAGGUGUUGGUGUGCUAGCUGUUAUCCAGAGGAUGGGCCCGAGAUGUCACUGCCUUGGUCCUUUCAUUAUUAGCUGCUACUUCCUGGCGGGUGUCAGGUGGUGCAAUACCAGCUAAGCAAUAUAAUUUCUCCAGUGGUGCAGGAGAAAAUAUAAUUUCUCCAGUGGACAGGGAGCUCUGGCGUGGACUGGUCCAUGAGGUCACGAAGAGUCGGAAACGACUAUGCGACAGAGAGAGAGAGUGAGUAGGGCGUAGACAUCCUGUGAUAAUGUGGCAUGUCUCAUUAAGAGCCACAUCCACUGUUUUAAGGUGGUGAGAGGUAUUCCACACUGGGCACGCAUACUCAGCAGCAGAGUAGGAAAGUGAAAAGACAGAUGUCUUCACUGUAUCUGGUUGUGAUCCCCAGGUUGUGCCAGUCAGCUUUCAUAUGAUGUUUCUAGCGCCCACAUUUUGC